GACCUGUUGGCGGAGUGGUCCGCGCCCAUCAAGAAUUCUGUUUGGUUAAAUGGGAUUCCCUUGUUCGACUCAAGGCCAGGUCA